rfam:Protomyces lactucaedebilis strain 12-1054 BCR37scaffold_7, whole genome shotgun sequence.
GGAGCUUUGGCCGAGCGGUCUAAGGCGCCAGCUUAAGGCGCUGGUUCGAAAGAGCGGGGGUUCGAAUCCCCCAGGCUUCA